rnacentral:rRNA from 1 species
AUCUGGGCGGCGGAAUUCAGGAUGGCUGGCGCGUCUUCGCGGCGCGUCGGCCGUUUGAUAUUUCCGUCGCCGAUACGCAGACGUCYCGACCUGUUCGCGGUCGGUCCCUGCUCGGAGGAGCCGCGUUCGAGUUCGUUGCGUGGCGCGUUUCGGCGUGUCACGCGGCGAAGGCGCGGAUCUCUGGCUGGCCGUCGGACAGUACGCUUAACGGUGUCCGGUGUCGCCUCCGCGCGUGCACCGGUACCGGUCAGCGACGAAUUCUUCGGGCCUCUUUCCGACCCGUCUUGAAACACGGACCAAGGAGUCUAACAUGCGCGCGAGUCGCGGGGUGUCGAGCGUACUUCGGUGCGUUCGUUACGUUGCGAAACCCGUACAUGUCGAAGGCGUAAUGAAAGUGAAUGGGGAAGAUGGUGUUCCGAGUACACGUUCCGCGAUCGUCGGUAUCGCGGCCGGACACCCGCAUUCCCGGGGCGUCUCAACGGCCCGUCGCUGACGCGGACAGUCGUCUCUCGGGGCGGCUGUCGGUCGGCGAUGAACCGA